UUGCAACCAAGUAAGGCAGCCAAGGCCCUUUCCCGAUGGGGGCCUGGUGUGUGAUGCUCACAAUGCCAGCAUCCUUGAUAUGAAGCCUGUUGCCUCGCUGGAUUGCCCUAAGAGACCUUGGAGACAAUU